AUGUUGAUCCCACAAGCGAGCAAGUUGUGCUGGUUGAGUCUGCUGAAAAGAUUCCUGAGGAUGAUGGUUACCUUACACUGUCAAGGAAGGUUGUUACGGCAGGACUACAAGGAGGAUUGCAAGUUGCCAUACAAGCCUAUGGGGGAUCUGACCGUCCAUCCGUAUCCGGUCUUGUUUACUUCCCUUCCCAGUAUUGCAGGGUAA
rnacentral:rRNA from 1 species